rnacentral:miRNA from 1 species
ACUGACUGCUCAGAGGGAUUGG